AUUCCCAAUGCCUGACUCAGGGCAGGUAGUGACAAAAAAUAACUUAGUCGAGCCGUUUUCGGUUUGACUUUAGGAAUGAGAACAAUUUAAAUCCCUUAUCGAGGAUCAAUUGGAGGGCAAGUCUGGUGCCAGCAGCCGCGGUAAUUCCAGCUCCAAUAGCGUAUAUUAAUGUUGUUGCAGUUAAAAAGCUCGUAGUUGGAUUUCUGGUCAAAACACCUGGCCGGCUCCGCAAGGGGUCGUUGCAUUGGUUGUCUUUGUCCAUCCUCAGGUUGACUAGCUCUGGUAUUUAUUUAUCGGUGUUAGAGACGCCUGUCGUUUACUGUGAACAAAUUAGAGUGUUCAAAACAAGGUUUACUUGAAUACAUUAGCAUGGAAUAAUAAGAUAGGACUUUGGUGGUUCUUUUUAGAUAUUUUGUUGGUUUGCACGCCAAAGUAAUGAUUAAUAGGAGCAGUUGGGGGUAUUCGCAUUCAAUUGUCAGAGGUGAAAUUCUUGGAUUUAUAGAAAACGAACUACUGCGAAAGCAUUUACCAAGGAUGGUGUC
rnacentral:rRNA from 1 species